GUGUUUGGUCGACAUCUUCACAGGAGCAAAAAGGGGUUCUUCCAAGUGAACCCUAAACUCACAAAUUGGAUCAAAAUCAAGGGAAAUCAAGCCAAGAUUUUGGGGCUUUAACUAAAUUCGUGAUCACCAAGCUUAGGAGAUCACAAGUUGACUCUAAACAAGCUAGGUGGGAGCUUGGAAAGGAACGGGUUAAACGGAUCAUGGAUGCGAAGAAUGUUUGCGCGGACGCGAGGGUAAAACGGCUUAUGGAAUUUACGUGGCUAUGAAUCAGCAAAUUAU
rnacentral:lncRNA from 1 species